AACGAACGCUGGCGGCAGGCUUAACACAUGCAAGUCGAACGCCCCGCAAGGGGAGUGGCAGACGGGUGAGUAACGCGUGGGAAUCUACCUAGUUCUACGGAACAACUGAGGGAAACUUCAGCUAAUACCGUAUACGCCCUAAGGGGGAAAGAUUUAUCGGAAUUACAUGAGCCCGCGUUGGAUUAGCUAGUUGGUGGGGUAAUGGCCUACCAAGGCGACGAUCCAUAGCUGGUCUGAGAGGAUGAUCAGCCACACUGGGACUGAGACACGGCCCAGACUCCUACGGGAGGCAGCAGUGGGGAAUAUUGGACAAUGGGCGCAAGCCUGAUCCAGCCAUGCCGCGUGAGUGAUGAAGGCCUUAGGGUUGUAAAGCUCUUUCAGUGGGGAAGAUAAUGACGGUACCCACAGAAGAAGCCCCGGCUAACUUCGUGCCAGCAGCCGCCGUAAUAC
rnacentral:rRNA from 1 species